CUUGUACACACCGCCCGUCACACCACGAGAGUUUGUAACACCCGAAGUCGGUGAGGUAACCUUUUUGGAGCCAGCCGCCUAAGGUGGGAUAGAUGAUUGGGGUGAAGUCGUAACAAGGUAGCCGUAUCGGAAGGUGCGGCUGGAUCACCUCCUUUCUAAGGAA
rnacentral:rRNA from 1 species